rnacentral:rRNA from 1 species
GACGAACGCUGGCGGCGUGCCUAAUACAUGCAAGUAGAACGCAGUUACGAACGGGUGCGUAACGCGUAGGAAACUGCGUCAACGCAGGGGAUAACUAUUGGAAACGAUAGCUAAUACCGCCUACUGUGAGAUGGACCUGCGUUGUAUUAGUUAGUUGGUGAGGUAAAGGCUCAGCAAGGCGACGAUACAUAGCCGAACUGAGAGGGGGAGCGGUCACUAGUGGAAUGAGGCACGGCCCCGACCCCGUCGGUAGUCAGCAGUAAGGAAUCUUCGGGAAUGGAAGGAAGGCUGACCCAGCAACGCCGCGUGAGUGAAGAAGGUUUUCGGAUCGGUAAGCACUGGUGUUAAAGAAGCGGUAUCUAACCAGAAAGGGACGGCUAACUACGUGCCAGCAGCCGCGGUAAUAC